CAACUACUCCCUCUGUCCCAAAUUUCUUGUCUUAGAUUUGUCUAGAUACGGAUGUAUCUAAUACUAAAAUGUGACUUGAUACAUCCGUAUCUAGACAAAUCUAAGAUAAGAAUUUUGGGACGGAGGGAGUACUUU
rnacentral:pre_miRNA from 1 species